UACAGAGGGUGCAAGCGUUAAUCGGAAUUACUGGGCGUAAAGCGUGCGUAGACGGUUACAUAAGUCGGGUGUGAAAGCCCCGGGCUCAACCUGGGAAUUGCAUUCGAGACUGCGUAGCUAGGGUGCGGAAGAGGGAAGCGGAAUUUCCGGUGUAGCGGUGAAAUGCGUAGAUAUCGGGAGGAACACCUGAGGCGAAGGCGGGCUACUGGGCCGAUACUGACGCUGAUGCGCGAAAGCCAGGGGAGCGAACGGG
rnacentral:rRNA from 1 species